rnacentral:lncRNA from 1 species
ACUGUUUUGCAGCAUGCAUAUGUCACCCUUUGUCAUUAAUAUACUAAAUUGAUGCAUUGACUUAUCAGGAGAUUGUGUGUGUGGCCUUCAUUUGCAGCAAGGAGGGAUACAUUCCCAGUAACUACGUUGUGGAGGCUGGAAAUUAACUGGAAAGGUUUGACUGGUACCGCAAGACCAUGAACCGUAGCCAGGCAGAGAAUCUGUUGAAGACAGAGAACAAAGAUGGUGGUUUCUUAGUACGAGACUCAAGCAAAGCUGGGAAGUACACCGUUUCUGUGUUCACAAAGUGCGGGUGAGUUCAUUUUCCCUUUCCCUUUCAUUGAGGGCAGACAGACCGGGCAUGGCUAAGUGUGUUCUGCGUCCCAAAUGGCACCCUAUUCC